UGGCGGCGUGCUUAGCACAUGCAAGUCGAAGGGGGCUCCAAGUAGUCACCGGCGGACGGGUGAGUAACGCGUAGGAAUCUACCUAGUAAGAGGAGCAUAGCUUGCCGAAAGGCGGGGUAAUUCUCCAUACUGUACUUCAUAAUAUGAAUGUACCAAAGACGUAAGUCGCUUUUAGAGGAGCCUGCGUCCUAUCAGCUAGUUGGUGGGGUAAUAGCCUACCAAGGCGAUGACGGGUAGCUGGACUGAGAGGUUGAACAGCCACAAGGGAACUGAGAUACGGUCCCUACACCUACGGGUGGCAGCAACUGGGAAUAUUGCGCAAUGGGCGAAAGCCUGACGCAGCGACCCCGCGUGGAGGAUGAAGGCCUUCGGGUUGUAAACUCCUUUUGCAUGGGACGAUAAUGACGGUACCAUGCGAAUAAGCACCUGCAAACUACGUGCCAGCAGCCGCGGUAAAACGUAGGGUGCGAGCGUUAUCCGGAUUUAUUGGGCGUAAAGAGUGUGUAGGUUUUCCAAUAAGUUUUUGUUUAAAGCCUCAAGCUCAACAUGAGAACUGGCAAAAAUACUAUUGGAAUUGAGGUAGUUAGAAGCAACUGGAAUUGACGGUGUUGCAGUGAAAUGCGUUGAUAUCGUCAAGAACACCAAAGGCGAAGGCAGGUUGCUGGGCCUUACCUGACACUGAGACACGAAAGCUUGGGGAGAGAAGCAGAUUAGAGACCUGCGUAUUCCAAGCCGUAAACAAUGCCUGCUAGAUGGUCCGCCUUCGGCGGACUGUCGAAGCUAACGCGUUAAGCAGGCCGCCUGGGGAGUACGGCCGCAAGGCUAAAACUCAAAGGAAUUGACGGGAAGCUGCACAAGCGGUGGAGCAUGUGGUUCAAUUCGACACGAAGCGAAAAACCUCACCAGGGCUUGACAUGUAUCUGCAAAUCCGGCGAAAGCCGGACUCCUUCGAGGGUGAUAUACAGGUGUUGCAUGGCUGUCGACAGCUCGUAUCGUGAGACGUGCCCUUAAGUGGGUCAACGAGCGCAACCCCUGCUCUGUGUUAAAUAUUCACAGAGGACUAUCCCGAUUUUUCGGGGAGGAAGGUGGGGAUGACGUCAAGUCAGCACGGCCCUUAUGCCCUGGGCUACACACAUCCUACAAUGGCGAAAAACAACGAGUCGCGACUUCGCAAGGAGAAGCUAAUCUCUGAAAUUUCGCCUCAGUUCAGAUUGUCGGCUGAAACUCGCCGGCAUGAAGUCGGAAUCGCUAGUAAUCGCGGAUCAGCGGGCCGCGGUGAAUACGUUCUCAGCUUUUGUACACACUGCCCGUCAAGGCAGCAAAGUGGCAGCAGCCGAAUCCGCCUAGCGA
rnacentral:rRNA from 1 species